UACGUAGGGGCCUAGCGUUGUCCGGAUUUAUUGGGCGUAAAGAGCUCGUAGGCGGUUCGGCAAGUCGGAUGUGAAAUCUCCACGCUCAACGCGGAGGGGCCAUUCGAAACUGCCGUGACUCGAGUCCGGUAGGGGAGUGUGGAAUUCCCGGUGUAGCGGUGAAAUGCGCAUAUAUCGGGAAGAACACCCGUGGCGAAGGCGGCUCUCUGGGACGGUACUGACGCUGAGACGCGAAAGCGUGGGGAGCGAACAGG
rnacentral:rRNA from 1 species